CUGCGGCAGCUAGAAUGCAGUCGAGCGAGAAGCCCUUCGGGGUGAGUAGAGCGGCGGACGGGUGAGUAACGCGUAGGAAUCUACCCAGUAGUGGGGGACAACUAGUGGAAACGCUAGCUAAUACCGCAUACGCCCUACGGGGGAAAGCGGGGGACCUUCGGGCCUCGUGCUAUUGGAUGAGCCUGCGUAAGAUUAGCUUGUUGGUGAGGUAAUGGCUCACUAAGGCUACGAUCUUUAGCUGGUCUGAGAGGAUGAUCAGCCACACCGGGACUGAGACACGGCCCGGACUCCUACGGGAGGCAGCAGUCGGGAAUAUUGCGCAAUGGGGGAAACCCUGACGCAGCCAUGCCGCGUGUGUGAAGAAGGCCCUAGGGUUGUAAAGCACUUUCAAUUGGGAGGAAAAGCUAAUGGUUAAUAACCAUUAGCCCUGACGUUACCUUUAGAAGAAGCACCGGCUAACUCCGUGCCAGCAGCCGCGGUAAUACGGAGGGUGCAAGCGUUAAUCGGAAUUACUGGGCGUAAAGCGCGCGUAGGCGGUUUUUUAAGUCGGAUGUGAAAGCCCCGGGCUCAACCUGGGAACUGCAUCCGAUACUGGAAGACUAGAAUGCGGGAGAGGGAGGUAGAAUUCCAUGUGUAGCAGUGAAAUGCGUAGAUAUAUGGAGGAAUACCAGUGGCGAAGGCGGCCUCCUGGCUCGACAUUGACGCUGAGGUGCGAAAGCGUGGGGAGCAAACGGGAUUAGAUACCCCGGGUAGUCCACGCCGUAAACGAUGUCUACUAGCUGUAGGGUACUU
rnacentral:rRNA from 1 species